UACGUAGGGUCCAAGCGUUAUCCGGAAUCACUGGGCGUAAAGCGUACGUAGGCGGAUGUUCACGUGUAAUGCGAAAUCUUGUGGCUCAACCAUAUAGACUGUAUUACAUACGGGACGUCUAGAGGACGGCAGAGGCAAGUGGAAUUAGUAGUGUAGCAGUGAAAUGCGUAGAGAUUACUAGGAACACCAAUGGCGAAGGCAGCUUGCUGGGCCGUAUCUGACGCUGAGGUACGAAAGCGUGGGGAGCGAACAGG
rnacentral:rRNA from 2 species